rnacentral:misc_RNA from 1 species
GCCUUCUAGGGUCUGGACACAGCUCCUUGUUUGAUAAUCCCAGACCUUUGCCGUGUGAUCAUCAGAACCAGUGAUCAAAUAUGGCCUAUCACCACCAGUGAAGUAAUCGACACAAUUCACUCCCUUCAAAUGAGCAUCUAAUGUAAAGUUUGGGUCAGGAGAACCAAGAUUCCAAAUCUUUAUUGUGCGAUCAAGGGAAGCACUGGCAAAAGUAUUGGUAUCUUUGGGAUUGAAUGUGAUUUGCAUCACAUAAUG